UACGGAGGGUGCGAGCGUUGUCCGGAAUCACUGGGCGUAAAGGGCGCGUAGGCGGCGCGGGAAGUCAUCGGUGAAAGCUCAGGGCUCAACUCUGAGUCGGCCGGUGAUACUCUCGUGCUUGAGCACUGUAGAGGCGAGUGGAAUUCCCGGUGUAGCGGUGAAAUGCGCAGAUAUCGGGAGGAACACCAAUGGCGAAGGCAGCUCGCUGGGACGUGACUGACGCUGAGACGCGAAAGCGUGGGGAGCGAACAGG
rnacentral:rRNA from 1 species